rnacentral:rRNA from 1 species
AUGAACGCUGGCGGCGUGCCUAACACAUGCAAGUCGAGCGGCAGCGAGGGGUGCUUGCACCCUGUCGGCGAGCGGCGGACGGCUGAGUAGCGCGUGGGAACGUGCCCCAAAGUGAGGAAUAACUGCCCGAAAGGGUAGCUAAUACCGCAUAUUAUCUUCGGAUCAAAGGAUUUAUCCGCUUUGGGAGCGGCUCGCGUCGGAUUAGGUAGUUGGUGAGGUAAUGGCUCACCAAGCCGACGAUCCGUAGCUGGUCUGAGAGGAUGACCAGCCAGACUGGAACUGAGACACGGUCCAGACUCCUACGGGAGGCAGCAGUGAGGAAUCUUCCACAAUGGGCGAAAGCCUGAUGGAGCAACGCCGCGUGCAGGACGAAGGCCUUCGGGUUGUAAACUGCUUUUAUAAGUGAGGAAUAUGACGGUAACUUAUGAAUAAGGAUCGGCUAACUACGUG